rnacentral:misc_RNA from 1 species
GAUGAAGAACGCAGCGAAAUGCGAUAAGUAAUGUGAAUUGCAGAAUUCAGUGAAUCAUCGAAUCUUUGAACGCACCUUGCGCUCCUUGGUAUUCCGAGGAGCAUGCCUGUUUGAGUGUCAUGAAAUUCUCAACCUUUCUGGCUUUUGCUAGUCAGGCUUGGAUUAUGGGAGCUGCUGGCUUUUGAAGUCGGCUCUUCUAAAAUGUAUUAGCAAGAUCAUUGCUGCUCAUCAUUGGUAUGAUAAUUAUCUAUAUCAUUGAGAGUCAGUUUCCUUUAUUGGAAGAUUUUGCUCCUAACGAUCUUUAGCAAGACAACAUUUGACGAUUUUGACCUCAAAUCAGGUAGGACUACCCGCUGAACUUAAGCAUAUCAAUAAGCGGAGGA